CCGGAAAUGACGUCAGACUUAAAGACCGGAUACAGAAGAAGAAGCAGAACUGCCAAAAAUCCGAUGAAGAAGAAGGAGCUUUGCUUGCGGACUUAGAAGAAACAAAUAUUGCCCGUUUGAUAAAUCCAGAAUGCUUCCUCAUUGGAGACCCUCCGAGACUUAAUGGUACAGCACAGUACCAUGUUGCAGACUGCAGGGUGCUUCAAACAUGUCAAGUCAUUGGAGGAAAAGCACGAAUCACAGUGCAAUCGAAAGAUUCAAGAAUGGACUUGCCACCUUGCAGUUUUUAACAGCCCUGCAGCAGUAUCCAAUGACUCCUGUCCUGUGCCAUUCUAAGAAGAAUUUGUCUGCUGCGCACAUUGAAAAUCUGUUCCAACCAGAGCUUAGUCCAGAUGGAAGCAACCAGAGGGUCCAGGAGAACAAGACAACAACUUUUUGGGCAGAAUACCUUCUUGACUGUGAAGAACAUAACAGUGUGGUGACCCUGGAGGAUGUCCUCAUGGUUGCCACGGGUGUGCCAUGCAUGCCUCCUGCUGGUGUGGACCCUCAGCCAUGUCUUCAAUUUCUUAAAGGAUCAAAAUUCCCUAUGGCAAAUACAUGUGCCAACACUUUAAAGCUGCCACUCUUGGACAACUACAACACAUUUAAGGACAAUAUGAACUUUGGGAUCAAAAAUUCCCCUGGCUUUGGAUGCAUUUAGUCCACCUACAGCUGUUGGUAUCUUGAGCCAGACCUGUAAAGGUUGUGGGUUCUAGUUCUUCUGCGUUAGUGUAUCCACACUAGACCAGUUUUGUGUACACACACACACACACACACACACACACAAUGUCCAAAUUCAGGGGCCGCAUCGUUCGAAGCAUAGA